rnacentral:rRNA from 1 species
AUUGAACGCUGGCGGCAGGCCUAACACAUGCAAGUCGAACGAGUGGCGGACGGGUGAGUAAUGUCUGGGAAACUGCCCGAUGGAGGGGGAUAACUACUGGAAACGGUAGCUAAUACCGGAUAGUGGGGGAUGGACUCGCGUCCUAUCAGCUUGUUGGUGGGGUAACGGCUCACCUAGGCGACGAUCCCUAGCUGGUCUGAGUGGAUGACCAGCCACACUGGAACUGAGACACGGUCCAGACUCCUACGGGAGGCAGCAGUGGGGAAUAUUGCACAAUGGGCGCAAGCCUGAUGCAGCCAUGCCGCGUGUAUGAAGAAGGCCUUCGGGUUGUAAAGUACUUUCAGCGAGGAGGCGUUACUCGCAGAAGAAGCACCGGCUAACUCCGUGCCAGCAGCCGCGGUAAUAC